UAUUAUAGACAUUCUACUCGUUAUAUUAUACAUCAGUUUUAUUUUUCUUUGUAGAGCUGGGAUAACCUUAACUCAUCUAAAGAGGACAUCCUAUAAGAUUUGGUUUCCCCUGUGAUGGGCCAACCCCUUUCUUGUCGUCCACGAUCCUUGGUCAUAGAUUCAGUAAGUAAACUACUAACUCAUGGGUAGGAUGACACCUCAUCACCAAAUCAAAGCAUGCAAGUCUCAACUUCAAAUAAGUGUCGGUGGUAAUUCAACAUCGAGGAAUGUGCUUUACCUUGGGUAAAACGGGUGAGAAUCCUCAACUACUUAUAAAACAGGCAUGACCAAGAUCAAGUAAUGACAUAUAAGAUAUGCACUUGACUUCCAAGGUCAAGGCAAGGGCAAAUAACACAUGCGCAUGAAUAUUAUAAAGUCAAGCACA
rnacentral:lncRNA from 1 species